AUUGAACGCUGGCGGCAGGCCUAACACAUGCAAGUCGAGCGAGCGGCGGACGGGUGAGUACUGUAUGGGGACUGCCCGAUAGAGGGGGAUAACUACUGGAAAAGGUAGCUAAUACCGCAUACUAUCGGAUAACCCAUAUGGGAUUAGCUAGUAGGUGAGGUAAUGGCUCACCUAGGCGACGAUCCCUAGCUGGGCUGAGAGGAUGAUCAGCCACACUGUGACUGAGACACGGCCCGGACUCCUACGGAGGAAGCAGUGGGGAAUAGUGCACAUUGGGCGCAAGCCGGAUGCAGCCAUGCCGCGUGUAUGAAGAAGGCCCUAGGUUUGUAAAGUACUUUCAGUCGGGAGGCGGUACCGACAGAAGAAGCACCGGCUAACUCCGUGCCAGCCGCCGCGGUAAUUC
rnacentral:rRNA from 1 species